rnacentral:rRNA from 1 species
CCUACGGGUGGCAGCAGUGAGGAAUAUUGGUCAAUGGACGAGAGUCUGAACCAGCCAAGUAGCGUGAAGGCUGACUGCCCUAUGGGUUGUAAACUUCUUUUAUAUGGGAAUAAAAUGUUCCACGUGUGGGAUUUUGUAUGUACCAUAUGAAUAAGGAUCGGCUAACUCCGUGCCAGCAGCCGCGGUAAUACGGAGGAUCCGAGCGUUAUCCGGAUUUAUUGGGUUUAAAGGGAGCGUAGGUGGAUUGUUAAGUCAGUUGUGAAAGUUUGCGGCUCAACCGUAAAAUUGCAGUUGAAACUGGCAGUCUUGAGUACAGUAGAGGUGGGCGGAAUUCGUGGUGUAGCGGUGAAAUGCUUAGAUAUCACGAAGAACUCCGAUUGCGAAGGCAGUUCACUGGACUGCAACUGACACUGAGGCUCGAAAGUGUGGGUAUCAAACAGGAUUAGAUACCCUAGUAGUC